AAAUGGACUCAGAACAAAAGAUGCAUGGGAAAAGUUUCACCAUACAAGUCAAGCUUCCAAUAAUGCAUAAGUGCUUCACUCUGCAAUACAAGAUAACUUCCUUGUAAAGGGACUUUCCUGCAGCUUCCGCAUGCACAGAAUGCUGGCUCUGACCUUCCUGUGGUGACAGCAGUGAGUACCUAUGCCAUCUUUUGCAAACUGAGCACAAAUGGAUUCAAUGCAAGUGCACAGAUCACUAUACAGACCACAGAUGUUGUUACCGAGAAAAGAUCAAAUGAGAC
rnacentral:lncRNA from 1 species